GAGAAGGGGAGGGGAGAAGAGAAGAGAGAAGAGGGGAGUAGGUAAGACGCACUUGUGCAUGUGCUUGAGCUUUUUCUAAGCUGCAGGGUCAUUGGCAAGACACUACUCCCAUGUCACUGCAAAGUGAUGUCUUUUGGGGAAAGAAAGAGCCCCAAUGAAAAUUAAAAGAAUUGGUCUCCAUAGCAUGGUGUUUGGGGGUAAAUGGUUGAAUGAUCACCUGCUCCAGUCAGCAAUGGGGUACACAUCACAAGUGGACCCCAUUACCCUCUCACUGAACCUGCAUGUCGUUCCCAGGCUACUUUAAGCAUUGCCCUCCUAUGCCCAAUAGCAGCAGUUGGAUAAGAUUUUGAGCUGAAACCCAUUUGCUGCCCAUAGGUCAGAUGAAUUCAGUUGUUAGAAUUGUGAGUCUAAGACUGUUUGGCUCCCACUUUCAGAACAGACACUGUUGUGUUAUGUGUCCUUAUAUACUCUGCUCUCUGUGUAGCAUGUCCUCCCAUUUCUGUCUAGAUCAUUCUUGCUUAAGCUCCUUUUGUUUGCUGUCCUGUUACCAGAGUUCAUUCAGUAUCAUGCUAUGUCCCCACCACACAGCCCAAAACAUGGCAUGGUAGAAGUACACCAGAAGGGUAGGUAAAGGAGCCGUUGUCCCAGGGUAACAGGUAGGGUUGGGAGAGAAAACAUACUGUUCCAUGGAAGCCUCUGCCACAGGAAGCAGGAUCUCCCCAGAGCAAGGACUUUGAGGUCAGUCAGGUGCUUAUGCAGAUCACAGAUGUGUGCUGCUUAAGGGUAUGGCCUGGGACAGAUAUCGGAACUACUAUUGUGGUUAAUAUUAUUUUGGAGGGGUUUACCCUGCUUAGAUCAUUAGCUCCCAAAUAAAAGAAACAAACCUUUAUAUUUAUAAUAAGCCUUAAAAGCACUAGAACUGGGCAGAUAUCAACCCUCUCUGCUAUUUGACCCUGUUAGUAACCCCGAGAUAGCAUUUUCUUUGUUCUACCUGGGUCGCUCCUACACUCCAUAGGUUGGCCUUCAUGGCCAUGCGCUCACAAUACAUGCACAUGGUGACUUCUCUCUCCCUUCCUCCUCCUGGUCUCCUCCCUCUGUGGUAGUCCCUGCCUGAGACCCCAAACCCAGGAACCUUUGCUCCACCCUCUCUCUUCUGCCUAGCCCAGGCUGUAGGCAUCUUUAUUAACCAACCAGGGAUAACUUGUGGGGCAAGGUUUACAUAACAAAAACUGGUCUACAAGAGGAUCUCCUUGUCUUAGAGCAACCAGAUCUUUGGGUACAGAAUUUAGCAUUUGAAUAUAUAGCAGCAUCAGACCAACCCACUACAAACUACUGAGACACAUUUCUGCAGAUUGUUUAGACAGCAUUGUGAUGUGCUUGUUAAACCUCUAGCAGUGCACAUAAUGCACACACAGUAUGCACUGUUAUAUGUAGUGCUAGCUUACAUAUUAGGAAGCACACCUGCCCUUGAUACACAGAGUGUGGUCACAACUGAAUCUGGAGCCACAAGGGCCAGGGAGGGGAGGCUGGUACCUGGAAGCUGUCCUUGAAGAGCCCUGCCUUAGAGGUACUCUGGAUACAAGCAGCUGUGGAUGGAGCACUGCAAUAGUUUGUAGGUGUAAAACACCAGAGCAGCUCACUACAGCUGAUAGACGACUCUAUAGCUAUUGACUCUGGAAUAGUAGGUGCCACAGAGGGUGAGCCACAGUGGGAUAGGCAAGCACAAAAGAGAGACACUGGGUAUUGUAUCUAUAUGUCCAAAUGCCACAUGACACCUAAUGUUCUCCUCUUGGGAGUGUGGGUGCAUGAUACAGAGAGGCAGGGAAAAGCCACCCUCCAGGUGGAGACUGGUACUGACUUCAGGGAACCUUAGGGUUUUUUGACAGGGCCAAAUGAGACUGUAGGCAUUAUCUAAAAUGUUCACUUUGAAACAGUGUGUAUUUGUGGGUAGCCUGUAUAAUUGAAAUUAGGAAGAUUAUUACUAAAGGGAAUUGAGGGAUGGGGAAAAUAGAGAUUAGGGCUGCUGUCUUCUUACCAAGCAGCAACAGCAGUGACAAAGGUUAGCCUGUUCUCCCUUGGACCUAGACCCUGUCUGUGGGUUUUAUCAGGAAAAAAAAAAAAGAUACCCACUCUUGACCCCUGAGACACAGACAAGCUGAUUGGAGUGCAGGUGUUAUAGACUACAAGGAGACUUCCCAAUGCUCUGAGGACCUCAAGCCCCAAGGCCAGCUUCUAAAAAUGCUGGGCUAGGGACAAGUGGGGCGAAUGAUGUAGGAAUUGCCAGCAGUUUUGUGUUCCCUGCUCUGUCCUGUUAGCCUUAGUGAUGAGUGCUAACCAAGUCCUAAGCCCUGCAGGCCUGGGUGAAGACAUGAAAGCCCCACAGGGAAGGACUUCAUGCCUAACAGGAAAGGCAGGUAUAGUCUGUGUCCUGGAAAGAAGCUGGCAGCAGGCCCACUGGCACUCAUCAGAGAAGCAAACCUUAUCUGAGAAACAGCAAGGCCAGAGACAUGAACUGAAGCUAUGAAAACUCAGGUGAGGUCUAGGAAAGAACUUCCUGACUUGCCAUGAGCCUUUAUAAUGUCCAGCCUUUAUCUUCUAUCAGAAUGUUUAAGGAGAAAUAGUAUGGUGUGUACUCAAGAGUGUGGCCCAUGUUGUCCUCUGUCUCUUCUCCCCUGGUGAGCCAUCAGUAUCUAUCUUCUAGGAAGAGCUGCCAAGUAUUUUACUUUGGUGAUACCUGGGACUCAUCUAUGGCCUGUGUUCUGGCACCUGGGCCUACCAUUGGCAGAAGGAAACUAGGGAUCCUGUGUGUUUAUCUGGAAGCUUCCUCUCCUUACUGUUCUCAUCAUUCUUUCUCCUAAACAUGAGACUGGGUGGUGUGAUCUCUGGGUGGUAACAUGAGCUGAUCAGAGUGGGGCAUCUGAGUCCCUAGAGUUCACCAGGCAGCCCCAGAAAGAUGGGCAGUCAGCUCUGUGCUUAGGCGACAGAGUGAGUGGAACCUACCAAAGGUUCUGGUGAGGUAUCAGGAAGGCAGACCUGAGGUGGCAGAGGCAUUCACUGCACAAAGCCAGACGUUGAGGCUGGUUCUGGGCACAAGGCUAGCAGCGCACAAGAGCCAUUUGGAACUUUUUCUGCAGGCUGCGGCAAGUCAUAAAAAAAAUCUUUUAAGUGGGGAAUUGAUAGGAUUGGGUUUGUGCUUUAGAAAGAUAACUGGCAGCCUUGGGGAGGACGAAGUGACAGUGUCGAGAGCAGAGCAGGACUCAGCACUGCCAGCUGGAAUGACUCACCCAUCCUGCAGCCACAGGCUUCAGUGUUCCAGGGGCAGAGAAUGACAAGACCCUAGCCACCCUCUCCCAGUCAGCAAAGCAGACAGUCUGCAGUGAAUGAGACAGAUACAAAGUUUAUGAAAGAAUAUACAUAUACAUAUACAUAUACAUAUACAUAUACAUAUACAUAUACAUAUACAUAUACAUAUAUAUUAGAAAGAGAAGAAUAUGGGGAAGGGAGGAUAUGCUACUGAGUGAUACAAAGUGCCAUGGAGGAAACGGAGCAGGACAGUGUGGAAGAUGAUGACCAGGGCUGCACAGUUGAGAGUCACAAUGGGCUUUGUGCAGCACUGAUGCAGGAGGAAGGUGGGUGGGUGCUGUGGAGCUCUGGAGAAGAGGGACACCUGACCAGCCCCUGUUUGUGCACUUACCUCCUGUGUUGCAGGCUAUGAGAAGAGGAGCAGCCCUCACAGAAGAGGUGUAUGUCUCACUGGAGUCCUCUCCUCUCACUGCUGCUGUGUUGUAGGCACCAUCUCCCUCAUCCACAGACUGUGCUCUGUCAACAGUGCCACACCCACCUGAUCCUCCUUGGAAAACUGAUGCCUGCUGAAUCAACUGACUCCUCAACUGACUCCACUGGCCAUUGGCAUAAGCUUCCUGCAUGUUCAAUUCCACAUAAGCUCAGCUUGGGCCGUAGGAUCAGGACCCAGUGUCUAUUCUAUGAGUGGCACUCUAGGUGGACUCAAUCCAGCCUGGGGACUGAUGUAUGUAAUUUUAUAUCUUGUUGCUCCUCAUACUCCACCUUCUAGUAACUUGUUGGCCACUGUUCUUCAUACUUCAAGUAAGUCACUGAUGAGCCUGGGAGUUGUCCAAGCCUAAAAACAUCCAUUAAGACUUCUACCAUGUGCCUUUGUUCAGACAGCCCUUGGCCAAGUCCCUGGCCAUCACCUUGUGUUUAUCAUUCCAUAGCUGCAGGCUGGAUGGUGAAGGAGAGAACCUUCCAGGAAUGUAGAGACUGGAGCUGUCCGGCCAUUAGUGCCCACUGCCAUAGCCAGGAUUCCUGGAGAAGAAAAGAUGAAAUGGGGGAUGUAUGUUCAACGGACUCGUGCAUUACUGAUGGAGGAAAGGAGAGAUGGGGAAGGGGGCCUUAUGUUCAACAGACCCAUGCAUUCCUGCUGCUGCCUCACCAAACCAGUCUCUUGAAGCCAAUCCAGCAUCUACUGGGGUGACUUGACCCCUCUAGAGUGUGCUGUGCCUGUUCUCUGCUGGAUGUACCAGUAGUGGCAUGCUCUUCAGACUGCACAAACUGUGUUCUUGACCACAGUUCGGUGGAUGGAGGGGGUGUAGACAUGGGAAGAAGAUGGUCCUCUGAUCAUCCUCCUGCCCACAAAGACCUUUCUGUGCUUUCUCCUAGCAUUUGUUCUGUUUUCUAGGAAGGAGCCAGCUCCAUGCAGUAGCCCAUGGGCUUUGAAGCAGAGAACCAAAUCCUGUCAGUGUCUCCCAUAGUGGCCCCUCUCAGUCCCAGUUAUAUUGUCUCUAACACUUGAUCUCUGUCUUAGGUAGGGUUUCCAUUGCUAUGAAGAGACAUCAUGACCAAGGCAACUCUUAUAAAGGACAACAUUUAAUUGGGGCUGGCUUACAGGUUCAGAGGUUCAGUCCAUUAUUAUCAAGGCAGGAAGCAUCUUAGUGUGUCCAGGCAGGCAUGACACUGGAGAAGGAGCUGAGAGUUCUCCAUCUUGUUCUGAAGGGAACCAGGAGAAGUGUAGCAUCUGGGCAGCUGGAAGGGUUUCAAAUCCCACCUGCAGUGACACACUUUCUCCAACAAGGCCACACAUCUAAUAGUGCCACUCUCUGGACCAAGCAUUCAAACCACCAUACCCUCAGUAGCUCCCAAGGGCUGCAGAGAGGGCUGAGUCCAUCCUACGUUCCUCCUAAGAUUUGUGAUGAGUCUUCAUCUCCUUCAGAAGGCAGAUAGGAAGUUGUUUCUGUCUCCAUUCCAUUCUCUCUCAAGCCCACUGAAUAUAUGCUCUCCUUGCUUCUUUCCCAAGAGCCCCACAGCCUGGAGUACAGAGAAUGAGAACUGCCGUGGCUCAAGGUUCCUCUUCUGCCUGGCAGCCUCUUCCUUGUAGCCUCCUUGGCCCAGCCAAAGUCACCAGGAAGCUGGCAAGGCAUAGUAUGUUCCUCUUCCCUUGGUGGUAGCUUUGGUACAGCAAUGGCAUUGAAUUGUGUGAAUCUUUGUCCUGCCUAACACCUGGAGCCCUGCCUGGCCUCAGCCCUGUAGGACUGCCCAUCUUCCCUUCCCAUAAAGAGACAGGAUUACCUAGUUAUCAGUAAAUGUUCUUUAAGCUUUAACUCCAUUCCAGAUGUUCUUUUACUUCCCUCUGGUCCCAGCACACAGAUCUGCUGAUGAAGCCAACCUUGGUCUGUCAAGCUGGCUCUCAGCCUUCUGAGCCAGUCUCUGGUUUCAAGAGACUGUCAUGUUUAGCCCUUGCUUACAAUCCUAGUUAGAAGGAUGGACCAGAGGACUCUUGUGCUUGCACUGUAUGUCCCUUGAGUCCAUGCUACGGGUUAGGAGCUAGGGAACUCUGCCCUCACACUCUUCUGCCCUGGGUACUAAUUCAGUCUGCACAACCCCAGAUCAUUUUAGCUUCCCUGGUUUUCCCCUCCUUCUCCUCAGUGUAUACCCAGCCCAGAGCUUUGCAGGCUCUAAGGUGAUUACCAGGAGAAAUGGAUCCAAACCCUUGAAAACUCUAACAUAUAGCUCUAGUUUUACUGCACUUGACAAGAGAUCUGGUUCAGAUAACUCAGGAACUGAAUAACAGACCCAUGAAGCACUAAACCUGUCUACAUCAGAGAGCUGUCCUUUCCCUAUUCUCAUGAUGAAGAAAUUGAAGUUUUGCUUGCUUUCCUGUUCUGGGUUAUCCAUUAGAGGAACAGGAUAGAGGCAGGAUUCAGGGCCUGCCUUGAAAAUGUAAAGUUCUAUCUUGUAGCUGCUAAUAGUCCACUUGUGUGAGGGUCCAGAGGUUCUAGUCAUGUGUGGCUUGGAGAGUAGAGCUGCUUCAAGUAAAUGUUCUCUUCAAAGCCUCUGCUGUGCCCUUGCUGCCUGAGAGCCUCCCUCAGGAGCCUUCAUAACUCACUACUGUUUCGUAGGCCCAUGGGCUCCUAUCAGGCUAUAAACAGGUCUGCUUAGAAUCACAUGGGUUGUAGAGUCCAGCAUUCUGCAAAAGCAAAGACCUCAGAACAUGCACUGCCUGCAAACUCUCAAGUGGCCACUGUGCACCCUGGAGUGAGAUCGCCUGCCAAGUGAGUGUGUUAUAGCCAACAUAUUAAUCACUUGCCUUGUAAAGUCCCCCAGGGAAAGCCACUAAAUCUAGGUUGGCUUCUGAGUUACCUCAGGGACCCUAGAGAUUGAAAAGACCUACUGUUUUUUCCUGUGUGAGCAGCUGUCUCUUUUUUAGGGCCUGGGCCUUGAAUGUAGAGAGCAUGGGUCCCUUCUGGAAGGAAAUGUUCUAUGCCCUGUAGCCUCACUGACCCAAGGCCUCACAUUUGAAUGUGUCUUCCAACUUCCUGCAGAGUACACACAUACCCAGUGACCAGGCACAGUGGGCAUGCCAGGGGUAUGAGCACAGGAAGGCCCUAGUGGUUGUGCCAGGCCUGUAAGAAGAUGUAACAGCUGCACCUCUGUUGACCAAGAUGCACUGUAGCUCAGGACUCCUGCCUUUUUAGGAGUCUGCAUCCCUCAUCUGAAGGGAAUUCUUUUACUGUUCCUAACAAGAGCCCAGUUCUAGGGUCAAGUUCUUGGGUGACUUCCAGGGAGCUUUGCUCCAAGCCUGGGAAUGUGAGGUCAGAGUCAGUCCUGCCCUGUUAGUGGGCUUGCUAACUAUGCCAAAAAGUUACCUUGGGCCUCAGAUCCUCAUCUGAUUUGUGAAAUAACUGGACCACAGGUUCUCAAGGCUCAGAAGAGUAUUAGUUCCACUUGCUCCCCAGGCCUGCUUCCUUUUGAAGUGUUGGCUGUGCCCUAUCCCUCCUUUCCUGCCAUUUCUAGGAUUCAGGUGAAAUUCUGGAAGCUUUAAUUAAAUUACAUACUAGUGGUGAGAGUUAAUACUGUAAUAACCCACAUUUGUGAGUUACAGAAUGUUUUCCUAAAUAAUAGGCAUUGGUUCAGCAGUCACUGAAAUACCUUCUAAUAACAAGAUUUCUUCACAGUUCAUGGGUUUUAAGUUGUAUGUAAUGCAAUCACAAUCAACUACUGCUUUAUCUUUAGCACAAAAGCCAAGUCAGAAUAUCACACACAGAUACACCUGUACACCACCCUCUUGCAUGCAUGGACACACAGCCUAGCAUCAGCUCCCUCCAUUCCCCGUGGCAUUCUGGAGCAAUUCUUCUCUCUGUUGUGCUAGUAGUCCCUAAGGCUCCAGAGACACACUUUCCUAUAGCUGAGGAAGGUCUGUGAGGAAAGUGUGCCUACAGCAGAUUCCCCCCAGAGUUUGUGUGUACUUUUGUAUUGUCAGGCUCACUCUCUGAGUUUCACUGGAAUGCCUUCCAGUGUUCUGUAUGAUGGUUGUCAAGAAUGCCUGGGAGUUUUACUUAAAUUAACAAGUGAUUGCCCUUCCCAUUAGCUCUGCAAACAGACCCUAAUUAGUGAACUGGCUAAUAAUGGUUGCCUCUGGGGUCAUUAGUCCUGACAGACAGUGUUGGCGGUGUUCCGGGUACUGUAUCACUGUCACAAAGCAUGUUGUCAGGCUCUACUGGAAGUUGAGUCUGGGAACACAUGUCCUGUUGGCCCCUCCUUUUGUCUUUUACAUUGUUUCCUUGGCUUAUUAAAUUACUUAUGGAUUAGAAACAUGGAUUUUUAGAAUGAAGACCAGAAAAGUGGUUAUAUAGAUUCUAGAUAAAAUAGUUUUCAAGAAACAGUUGUGUUAGUCUGGGAAUCAUUUAGAAACAGUGUUUUGCCCUGCAGCCUUGGGCUUCCCCAGUGAGCACAAUUACCUUUCCCCCUCAGGAUGCUCAGCAAGUAUCUUUAACAUGCCCCUCAACCCCAAGUUGUCAAGGAACCGGAAGACAACAUGGCAGGAUGCAGAGGCAAGGCAUCUGUCUAAGACAUGGUACUUCUUAGGGCUUAUACCCUUUGAGAGUCUCCUGCCCUCCACAGGAGUGGUCAUCAGGCCUAGUACAGCCUGAUACAUGAUUAUUUGGUUUCUUUGAAGUCUAGACACCCCAGGGAUUUGCAGAUAUAGCUUCAUAGUAACUCUGUGGGAGUCCCAGGUUGGUGUUUCAGAGGUGAGGACAGCCCUGCAGGAUGAAGCGAGGUUCUGAAGAGACGAGCAUGCAGGCCAGGAGCCACCAUGACAAAAAAGGUGCUUUGCAUUCAGAUGUUGUUACCAUACAGAUUCUUCCUACAUCUGCUCAAAAUCCUGUGCCAUUUGGUCUAAACAUCUAUUUAAGCAAAGGCUAGAAGGCUGUUUGAAGACAUAAAGGGCAAAGAGGGUAUUCACAAUACAAAGCUUAAAGUGAGUCAUGGAUGUAAAAUGUAUGACACUUUUCAUAUGAUUAAAAAUGAACAAAACUACAUUUCAGUGUUUAGAAGUAGCAGAAGUGAAUCUUACAGAAUUUUUUUAAAUUGUGCGAAGGCGAUGAGCAGAGCAGACUUAACAUGCUCUCACUUAAUUACCAGCGUGACCACAAGUUUUGAAAGGCAGAAGCACAGGUUGGCUGAGGUGGGAAGGCAGAGUUUCUGAUUCCACUUGGGACUGAGGUGACAGGAAAUGCUGGGAAAGCCAUCGAGGGAAAGGCCUUGGCUGCUCCCCUGGAGUAUAUACUCACUUGAUCCCUGCACUGUAGAUGGUUCAAGCCCUUCCCAACCCAGCAGCUCAUGCCUCUGGACAACUGCCUAGUGCUCUUUGCUUCUCAUGUUCAGGACCAGAUUGUCCCUCUGGGAACAGAGCAUCCCCACAACCUGCAGCCAGGCACCCACCUUCACAUUCCUGUCUCAUGGCUUCCUACACUGGGCUAAGGCAUGUUCAUGGUUCCUUUGCAUACAUGUAGCUUGCCUUCCACUUGUACUAGGAGGCAAUACUGCCUCCCCUUCCUCACGACCUGCAUGCUUCCUACUUUAGCAUGCCUACCACCAUGAUUGCAACCCUACCCAAGAGAGCAUAUGUGUCCCCAAUGGAGAGAAUAGCACUGGGUCCUGCAGGUGAUGAGUUGGAGAAAUAAACAGCAGUUCCUCUUGUUUCUGCUUUGAGCACAGGGAGGCCAGGAGCCAUCAGUAGGCAAGUGAGAAUCCACCCAGGUGGCUUCUGAGGAGAGGGUACUGUGACUUCUACCUCACUGUAUGGUCACUAGGAUUUUUUUGGUUUGAGUAUAGCAAGAACUAAACUGGCUUUGAACACAGUCUCCACCCUGACUCCAAGAAGAUGAGUUCAUAUGGCAUGAGUGCAAACACACAAAGCACCAAGCAGGGUCUGGCUCAGGGUGAGGAUGAGCUGUGUAGAAGCUGUGCUUAUUCGUUGCCAUCACUGACUCUUAGAAUGUAGUGCUCCAUUUAGACUCUUCAAAGUUGCGUGUGUGCAUGCGUGCAUGUGUUUUUAACAUCAGUCUCAUUAAAAGGCAAAUGCCAGGAUUUAAAAUGAAUGCCUAUCACAACAAGAAAGGACAAGUCCGUCAUCAAGGUGUUCCUGUGCCCUUCCUCCUAGGCUCAUGUUAGUAGGGCCUUGUCCUAGUCUGCUUUCUGUUGCUAUGAUCAAAACCAACUUGUGAGGUAAUGGUUUAUUUCAGCUCAUUAAGUUACAGACUGUAAUCUAGGGAAGUAGAGAGGGAGUUCAAGUCAGGAACUGAAGCAAAGGGGUACCCUGCACUGGCUCCCACACUCACAUUAGGUACCUCCUCUUACAGCCUAAGUCCACCUGCCCAGGGAUGGCACUGCCCACGGUGGCCUGGGACUUCAUGCAUCAACUAGCAAUCAAGAAAGUGCCCCACAGAUACGCCCUCAGGCCAGUCCUCUUGAUAUUAUAGUUCUUGAUAUAGUAGAGCUUCCCUCUUCCCAUGUGUGUCAGAUUGACAAGAUUAACAAGGACAUACCAGUAGGCACCAAGGCAGUGUCACCCACAGACCCUGCAGACUCCUAGGCUCCUCCUCAGGACUGACUUAGGCUCCUCUCUCAUUCCUACUGUGAAGUCUCUACAGAAGCUCUGUUUGUCACCAACAUGAUAAAGGAGGCCACCUUCUGAAGUGUCCUUCCUUUGGGUGUUCUUUCCCAAACACCGACUCCUCCUGCAUGCCUCUCCCUUAGGACUUCAUGUAGACAAAGGGGUGGGAGGGCAGUCAUAUUUAUCAGACCCUUUCUGUGCUCUUGGGAAAUGACAUUGAAUACAUUAUCUCCCAUUUAUUGCCUUAUUUUAUAGGCAGUAAGAUGGGGAGUCUCCAAAGUGAAGGCACUCACCAAGGUCACAGAGCUGAUGAGUAGCAACCGCAGGUUUCUGUCCAAGUCAGCCAUCCUCCAUCAGCUGUCACACAGGAGGCAUGGCAAGGGAAUGUGGCUGGCACAGGAAUGACAGUGGAAUUUCAAAUGCCAGGGGCUUGGGUUUGGUUUUGUCUUGGGAAGCCAUCAAAAGUGUCUGAGCUUUGAAGUGACAGGAUCAGAUGGGUGUUUUCAGGAGAUAAUUCUAGGAGCUGUGUAUUGUCUGCUAAGGCACAACUCUUCCAUCCUAAACCCAAGUCCAAGAAAUUACAUUUGUCUAUCUGAUUUCAUGCAUAUGCCAGCCUAUUGUUCCAGCCUGUCUUUUUCAGUCUGUGUAACUGCCUCACUGUGUACACACAUGUGUGUGCAUGUACACACCCAUCAUGAGUGGGGGUCAUAAUUUGGCAGAAGACUGACUGAAGCUGGCUUCUUGCCAUGCAGCCACUGGCUUAUGACAACUGUGACUUGUGUUUCUCACAUACCUGGGUAGUGAUGGAACAAGAUGGGGAUACUGAGAAAUGAGACUAUCCCCUCACAAACACCCUGGAAUUCGCACCUUUUCCCAGCAACAUUAUUUGAGACUUCAGUUUUGAAUUUCAGAGGAACUGGCAGCCUUUGCAUCUUCUAAUUCAGUGAAUUUUUAUUGAGUUCCUACUGUGUGGGCCAGGGCUUUUGUGCCCGGUGUUUCCUGGAGGUUUGUGUCCUUUUAUAGUUACUAAAGGUGAAGUGUGUUUAUAUGAGAUAGUAUUGUGACAACGGACACUGAAAAUUCACUUAGGUCCCAUGCUGAACACUUGCCAUUUGCAGUACAUGUCUUUGGCCUCUAUCCUCAGUCUGGUUUGCUGUUUUCUAUAGCAUCUUCAAAUUACAAGUAACACAAAAUAUAUACUAAAGAGUUCACACAUCUGUUUACGUGUGUAGUUAUAGAUAGGCUGCAUCUUAAGAUGUUUUUCAAAAUGAAAACCGGUGUCAUCUUUUGGCUGAAUAAUUAUAAAAAUGGUAUACAUGUUUUAUAUUCAUAUAUGUAAUGUUACUAUAUAAUAAAAAUAUAGAAAAAAA